rnacentral:rRNA from 1 species
UGCGAAAGCAUUUGCCAAGGAUGUUUUCAUUAAUCAAGAACGAAAGUAGGGGGAUCGAAGAUGAUCAGAUACCGUCGUAGUCUCUACCAUAAACGAUGCCGACCAGGGAUCCGGAGAAGUUACAUGGAUGACUCCCCGGGCACCUUGUGAGAAAUCAUAAGUCUUUGGGUUUUGGGGGGAGUAUGGUCGCAAGGCUGAAACUUAAAGGAAUUGACGGAAGGGCACCACCAGGAGUGGAACCUGCGGCUUAAUUUGACUCAACACGGGGAAACUUACCAGGUCCAGACACAGUAAGGAUUGACAGAUUGAGAGCUCUUUCUUGAUUCUGUGGGUGGUGGUGCAUGGCCGUUCUUAGUUGGUGGAGUGCAUUUGU